UUAUUGUGGUGUGAAGCAAUGUGGUGUGAUGAGCGCUGAGAGAGCACGAUUUGGGGAAGUCGGAACUUUGAGAGGUCAGUCAGUUCAGAAGUGUGGAGGAAUAGGCAGAGCCAGUGAAAAUAACGAGCCUAGGAUUCAAGGUUUUAAAAAGUAGGAAAAUGUCCAGUUACUGAAGCCAGGGGAGGAGAGCCCCAGGGAAGGGAUACUUGGACAGCAUUGUCCAAGAUGUAGGCUGGCAAAGUGGGGAUGGGGCAAAGGCCCUGGGUUUGAUUGGGUGGAACUAGAGGUCUAGGGUAGAGCUGGGGUAUCCUCUGUCUACCCUCAGUGGUGUCUUGUGUCCAUAUGUUCUAGGGGUAGAUGUGAUUAAUGGGGCCCUCGAGUCAGUCCUGUCCUCCAGCAGCCGUGAACAAUGGACCCCAAGUCAUGUCAGCGUGGCCCCUGCUACCCUCACCAUCUUGCACCAGCAGACAGAGGCAGUGCUGGGAGAGUGUCGGGUGCGUUUCCUCUCCUUCCUGGCCGUGGGCAGAGAUGUCCACACCUUUGCAUUCAUCAUGGCUGCCGGCCCAGCCUCCUUCUGCUGCCACAUGUUCUGGUGCGAGCCCAAUGCUGCCAGCCUCUCAGAGGCUGUGCAGGCUGCGUGCAUGCUUCGCUACCAGAAGUGUCUGGAUGCCCGUUCCCAGGCCUCCACCUCCUGCCUCCCAGCACCCCCUGCUGAGUCUGUGGCACGGCGUGUAGGGUGGACAGUCCGCAGGGGUGUUCAGUCGCUGUGGGGCUCCCUGAAGCCCAAACGGCUGGGGGCCCAUACCCCAUGAAGAAGCCCCCACCUUCCCUCCACCUGCUUGUGUUGGGCCCCAGGGAACUAAAGGGUGUGGGUCAGGGAGGGGUUUAGAGGCUAUUCCCAGGCCUCAGGCCUCCCAAAUAUGCCCCUCCCCAGGAGCUAGGGUUCCCUGCCUAGGAGCUGGGGAGGGAGAGAUCUAAUCCCUUCAAGGAAGUGAUAACACUGGAGUGGUAACAAGAGGAGCAGGAAGCAAGGCCAGCCCUGGUUCUCCAUCCCCAUGUGUUUCAGGUGGAACAGGAGGAACUGGUCCAGGCCAGGCCUCAUCCUCCUGGGACCCAGCAGGGGCAGAAGGAGGAAGGGACUGGUCCAGGCAUGGGUCCCUUCCCCCUGCUCCAUGGGCACCUCUGCUGUAUUGAUAUCACUAAUAAAGUCUGUCUGCACUGC
rnacentral:sRNA from 1 species